UAGAUACCCUGGUAGUCCACGCCGUAAACGAUGGGUGCUAGGUGUCACGGGCAUUGACUCCCGUGGUGCCGUAGCAAACGCAUUAAGCACCCCGCCUGGGAAGUACGGCCGCAAGGCUAAAACUCAAAGGAAUUGACGGGGGCCCGCACAAGCGGUGGAGCAUGUGGUUUAAUUCGACGCAACGCGAAGAACCUUACCUGGGCUAGAAAACAUAGGAACCUGGUAGAAAUAUCGGGGUGCUCUUCGGAGA
rnacentral:rRNA from 1 species